GACGAACGCUGGCGGCGUGCUUAACACAUGCAAGUCGAACGGAAAGGCCCUGCUUGCCGGGUACUCGAGUGGCGAACGGGUGAGUAACACGUGGGUGAUCUGCCCUGCACUUCGGGAUAAGCCUGGGAAACUGGGUCUAAUACCGGAUAUGACCUUCCAUGUAGUGUGGGGGGUGGAAAGAUUUAUCGGUGUGGGAUGAGCCCGCGGCCUAUCAGCUUGUUGGUGGGGUAGUGGCCUACCAAGGCGUCGACGGGUAGCCGGCCUGAGAGGGUGGACGGCCACAUUGGGACUGAGAUACGGCCCAGACUCCUACGGGAGGCAGCAGUGGGGAAUAUUGCACAAUGGGCGGAAGCCUGAUGCAGCGACGCCGCGUGGGGGAUGACGGCCUUCGGGUUGUAAACCUCUUUCGACAGGGACGAAGCUUCGGUGACGGUACCUGUAUAAGAAGCACCGGCUAACUACGUG
rnacentral:rRNA from 1 species